CACCUUCGGGUGUGAAUUAGCGGCGAACGGGUGAGGAACACGUGAAGAAUCUGCCUUCAACUCUGGGAUAACUCCGGGAAACCGGGGCUAAUACCGGAUAUGAGCCUUGAUCGCAUGAUCGGGGCUGGAAAGUUUUUCGGUUGAAGAUGACUUCGCGGCCUAUCAGCUUGUUGGUGAGGUAAUGGCUCACCAAGGCGACGACGGGUAGCCGGCCUGAGAGGGCGACCGGCCACACUGGGACUGAGACACGGCCCAGACUCCUACGGGAGGCAGCAGUGGGGAAUAUUGGGCAAUGGAGGAAACUCUGACCCAGCGACGCCGCGUGAGGGAUGAAGGCCUUCGGGUUGUAAACCUCUUUCAGUAGGGAAGAAGCGAAAGUGACGGUACCUACAGAAGAAGCACCGGCUAACUAUGUGCCAGCAGCCGCGGUAAUACAUAGGGUGCAAGCGUUGUCCGGAAUUAUUGGGCGUAAAGAGCUCGU
rnacentral:rRNA from 1 species